GAGGGUAUGGCUUAAGUGGUAGAGCAGAUGCUUAGCAUGCAUGAUGUCCUGGGUUCAAUCCCCAAGUACCUCCU
rnacentral:tRNA from 1 species